rnacentral:misc_RNA from 1 species
GAUGAAGAACGCAGCGAAAUGCGAUAAGUAAUGUGAAUUGCAGAAUUCAGUGAAUCAUCGAAUCUUUGAACGCACAUUGCGCCCCCUGGUAUUCCGGGGGGCAUGCCUGUUCGAGCGUCAUUUCACCAAUCAAGCCUCGCUUGGUAUUGGGCAACGCGGUCCGCCGCGUGCCUCAAAUCGUCCGGCUGGGUCUUCUGUCCCCUAAGCGUUGUGGAAACUAUUCGCUAAAGGGUGUUCGGGAGGCUACGCCGUAAAACAACCCCAUUUCUAAGGUUGACCUCGGAUCAGGUAGGGAUACCCGCUGAACUUAAGCAUAUCAAUAAGCGGAGGA